UACGUAGGGGGCAAGCGUUGUCCGGAAUUAUUGGGCGUAAAGCGCGCGCAGGCGGUUUCUUAAGUCCGAUGUAUAAGCCUGGGGCUCAACCCCGGGAGGCAUGGGAAACUGGGAGGCUUGAGUGCAGAAGAGGAGAGUGGAAUUCCACGUGUAGCGGUGAAAUGCGUAGAUAUGUGGAGGAACACCAGUGGCGAAGGCGACUCUCUGGUCUGUAACUGACGCUGAGGCGCGAAAGCGUGGGGAGCAAACAGG
rnacentral:ncRNA from 3 species